UGUUGCUCUACAGAAAUGGAAGGAGGAAAGAGGAAGAUAAGGAACCAAUGAGAGGAUCUUCAGGGAUGGCUGAUGCAACACAUUUUUACUUCAAUACGGACAUGUGCAAACAACCAAUGCAGAUAUGUGAAUACUCCAUGUGUAUGAAUUGGGUUUUUGUCCUACCUGUAGAUGAAGUGCUCGAAGGCUCUCAGGCAGGGGUGUGGGAAUAUAACUCAGAUGGUUGUUGGACAAAUAAAGGAACUCUAGUUGGCUCAUAUCCUGAGGUUGGAACAGAAGAGACAAGGGAGAACAACAACAUAUGGGAGAAAUAGUGUUGCAGAAAAUGCCAUCUCAUUCCUUACAACGGAUGCUGAAAGUGGUUGGGAUCAGACAGCCCUGCUUUCCUCCAUGGUCUAUCUGAUGCGUUGAAAGACUAGCUGGCUGCAAUGUCCUCUCCUCUGAGAGUCCUGAGCCGAUGCAGUAUGGGCGUACCCCCCUCUCUCAGGCAGGGAGGGAUCACCGAUGGAGGGAAAAGUGCUGCAUCUAUUCUGGUCACUUCAGACGUUCUUACCCAUAGCUCCUGGGAACCAGUACCAUCCAGCUGAGGGAGGGCUGUGACGCUGGUGCAGGAGUCUCCCUUUCAGGAACCGCCACCCUAUUGGGAGAGCAGAGUCUCUCCUCUGAGGCAUUGGUAGACUCCGGCGCUGAUUUUCUUUUUCGCUGCUGGUCAGUCUUGCCCAGACACUAAAGAUUCCCCCAACAAUUCUCUGCCCUGGACGUCCAAAGUCUCGGUGACAGGAGAGUGACCUCCACCACGUCCCCGCUACGUCUUCAUGUCGGGAACCAUCAGGAGGAUAUUCCUUUCCAUUUAAUAAAUUCUCCAAUUUGUGGUGGUCUUGGGUUGUCAGUGGCUGAAUCUCCACAGUCCUGACAUUGAUUGGAUAACCGGGACAUCUCCUAACCUGGAUUAUCUCUUGGAUUUUGGCCUAUGAUCCAAUUAGAUUUUUUUUGUUCAUUCUACUGGAAUACUGUACAUUUUCUAAAUUGCUCCUAACUUGAGUAAAACCCGUUCCUUGGUGGCUCAGAGAUUUGUCACUUGACUACCAAUCCUGAGACCUGGGUUCAAGACCCCAGUCUGACACAAGAAGAUGUUUCCAUAUGAUUUUAUUUUAUUUCAUCAAUGUUGAGUAUACCACCAUAACCAUUUGAUUUGAUGGAACUCACAGCGGUUGUUAACGUUAUUAUUUCAUUCGUUUGACUCUGUGUUUAACGUAAAGGAUUGUUGGUUCUGAUGAAUUUUUGUUACCUAUUCCUUCUGAUAACAAAUAACUGUAUAUUACAAACCAUAAUUGACCUUUAUAGUUUCUUUAGGGUUCUGCCCUGAGGAGAAAAUUCUUGAAACUUUAAAUUGAGCAUUAUCGACAUUGAGUAAUAUGACAGAACAUUGUGAUAUAAUUUUUGGCAAUAUCGUCCAACCGUAAUGACCUAUUAUGUUCUCUACAGAAAUCGUUCAAUAUGUCAAAUAUAUUUCCCACCGAUAGGGUCCUUUGAACUCUAGAAGGAUUUCACAAUCAAAAAGAUUUGAACUCAAAUCCACUAGAAAAGCUUGAGGCACAGAGAUGGCACAUAGAGAUGGCACAUAACUAAAACUCUCCACAUGCCCCAACUUAUAGUGGUUUUCACCUCUUUCUAUGCUUUCACCUCGC